rnacentral:rRNA from 1 species
AUUGAACGCUGGCGGCAUGCUUUACACAUGCAAGUCGAACGGUAACAGGGUGCUUGCACCGCUGACGAGUGGCGAACGGGUGAGUAAUGCGUCGGAACGCACCGAGUAAUGGGGGAUAACGCAGCGAAAGCUGUGCUAAUACCGCAUACGCUCUAAGGAGGAAAGCGGGGGACCUUCGGGCCUCGCGUUAUUCGAGCGGCCGACGUCUGAUUAGCUAGUAGGCGAGGUAAGAGCUCACCUAGGCGACGAUCAGUAGCGGGUCUGAGAGGAUGAUCCGCCACACUGGGACUGAGACACGGCCCAGACUCCUACGGGAGGCAGCAGUGGGGAAUUUUGGACAAUGGGCGCAAGCCUGAUCCAGCCAUGCCGCGUGUCUGAAGAAGGCCUUCGGGUUGUAAAGGACUUUUGUCAGGGAGGAAAUCCUUAGCGCUAAUACCGUUGAGGGAUGACAGUACCUGAAGAAUAAGCACCGGCUAACUACGUGCCAGCCGCCGCCGUAA